CUGUGGGGAUGGCGUUUGCCAGAAGGACGGGGAAGGGGGUUGCAGAUCACGGGGCCCUACCUGUGUCUGCCCCCAGCCCUGCCUCAUUCACCUGCCCUGAUCCUGCCCUGCUUUGGCCGAUGCCUUCUAGGAGGUGGAAAUUCCCUGCCUGUGAGUGUGUGCUAGAGUGAGUGACUCACUCCUAAGGAAUAAGAGUAUGGGGAGGGAAAAAGAGCAGCUUUGCAGUGGGGAAACCUGGCAGACACCACCUGCACUAAGUGAUCAAGGCACUUUCCCUAAUACAUUUCUCACAUAUUGAAAUCUGUCUGGUGUCUGCUUCUCAGAGGACCCAGAAUAACAUGACUGAUACCUGGAGUGGUCUGAGAAAGCAGUCGGUAAGAUGGUGCUAUAGCUGAAUGUUUGUGUCCUCUGAGAUUCCCAUGU